rnacentral:rRNA from 1 species
GACGGGGGAUGCAAGUGUUAUCCGGAAUCACUGGGCGUAAAGCGUCUGCAGGUGGUUUCCUAAGUCCACUGUUAAACCUUGAGGCUCAACCUCAAAUCUGCAUUGGAAACUAGGAGACUUGAGUAUAGUAGGGGUAGAGGGAAUUUCCAGUGGAGCGGUGAAAUGCGUAGAUAUUGGAAAGAACACCGAUGACGAAGGCGCUCUACUGGGCUAUUACUGACACUCAGAGACGAAAGCUAGGGGAGCAAAUGGG